rnacentral:rRNA from 1 species
UGAUUCCCCUAGUAACGGCGAGUGAAGAGGGAAAAGCUCAAAGUUGGAACCUGGCUGUCYUAGAUAGUCCGGAUUGUAAACUAAAGAGCGUGAAUCCAGGCAAGCCGGUUGAUCAAGUCCUUUGGAAUGAGGCGCCACUGAGGGUGAGAGCCCCGUAAAUCGACUGAGCAUUUGUCUUUUGUGUUUCGCGUUCAAAGAGUCAGGUUGUUUGGGAAUGCAGCCUAAAGCUGGUGGUAAAUCCCACCUAAAGCUAAAUACAGGCGAGAGACCGAUAGCGAACAAGUACCGUGAGGGAAAGAUGAAAAGUACUUUGAAAAGAGAGUUAAACAGUAUGUGAAAUUGCCAAGAGGGAAGCAUUUGGAGUUAGACUGACUUGRAGUUAAUCARCUUGGUCUUUGGACUGGGUGUACUUGACUUCUAUGUCUGCCAAUAGCAGUUAGUCCUGRUGGAAAAAACUGAAGGGAAGGUAGUCCUUCGGGAUGUUUAUAGACCUUUGGAAAAUACAYUGGGAUUGACUGAGGAAUGCAGUAGAUGCUAUUAAGGCUUCGUCUAGUAGGUGUUAGGUGAAGGUACUUGGUAUUUUCAGCUUGCUGAUGUGCUAGGUUACUUGAGCUUAAUUGCUUGCUAGAACUGUAAUC